GCGCUCGUAGCUCAGUUGGAUAGAGCACCAGAUUCCUAAUCUGGGGGUCGCAGGUUCGAAUCCUGCCGAGCGCGCCA
rnacentral:tRNA from 1 species